rnacentral:sRNA from 1 species
UAUGUAGGAGUACAGGCUAAAUCCGCCACAUCCUGCGGCAACACCAGCAUGGGCCGC